rnacentral:rRNA from 1 species
ACUGAACGCUGGCGGCAGGCUUAACACAUGCAAGUCGAGCGGGGUGAUGGUGCUUGCACUAUCACUUAGCGGCGGACGGGUGAGUAAUGCUUAGGAAUCUGCCUAUUAGUGGGGGACAACAUCUCGAAAGGGAUGCUAAUACCGCAUACGUCCUACGGGAGAAAGCAGGGGAUCACUUGUGACCUUGUGCUAAUAGAUGAGCCUAAGUCGGAUUAGAUAGUUGGUGGGGUAAAGGCCUAGCAAAGGGACGAUCUGUAGCUGGUCUGAGAGGAUGAUAGGCCACACUGGGACUGAGACACGGACCAGAAUCCUACGGGAGGCAGCAGUUGGUAAUAUUGGACAAUUGGUGGGACCCUGAUCCAGCCAUGCCGCGUGUGUGAAGAAGGCCUUAUGGUUGUAAAGCACUUUAAGCGAGGAGGAGGCUCUUUUGGUUAAUACCCAAGAUGAGUGGACGUUACUCGCAGAAUAAGCACCGGCUAACUCUGUGCCAGCCGCCGCGGUAA